rnacentral:rRNA from 1 species
ACUUGCUUUCUUUGCCGGCGACCGGCGCACGGGUGAAUAACACGUAUCCAACCUGCCCUUUACUCGGGGAUAGCCUUUCGAAAGAAAGAUUAAUACCCGAUGGCAUAGUUCUUCCGCAUGGUAGAACUAUUAAAGAAUUUCGGUCAUCGAUGGGGAUGCGUUCCAUUAGGUUGUUGGCGGGGUAACGGCCCACCAAGCCUUCGAUGGAUAGGGGUUCUGAGAGGAAGGUCCCCCACAUUGGAACUGAGACACGGUCCAAACUCCUACGGGAGGCAGCAUG